rnacentral:rRNA from 1 species
GACGAACGCUGGCGGCGUGCUUAACACAUGCAAGUCGAACGGAAAGGCCCUGCUUUCGUGGUGUUCCCGAUUGGCGAACGGGUGCGUAACACGUGAGUAACCUGCUCUUGACUUUCGGAUAACUUCAGGAAACUGGGCCUACUAUCGGACAGCAGCUCCUGCUGCAGGGUGAGCGUGGGAACGUUUCGGCGGUUGGGGAUGGACGCGCGGCUUAUCGGCUUGCUGGUGGGGGAGUGGCUUACCAAGGCUGUGACGGGUCGCCCGCCUGAGAGGGUGGACGGCGACCAUGGGACUGAGAGAGGGAGCAGUCGCGUACGGGAGGCAGCAGUCGGGAGUAUGGCACAGUGGGAGGAAGCCUGAUGAAGAAACGUCGCGGGCGGGAUGACGGCCUUUGGGUUGUAAAAAGCUUUAGCCUGUGACGACGCGUGAGUGACGGUAAUGAGUAAAGAAGCACCGGCUAACUACGUG